CAGUAUAGAUCGACCUGUAUAAAGGUAUGGAGAUCAGAUCUUCAAUUUUUAUAGAUGUCAUCUUAGAUUAGAUUUUAGAUACAUGUUCUUGUUAAUAUCAUAGAUCCGUUGUAGGUGGUUUAUAGAUUAGGUCUGAUGCAUGCUAGAUUAAAAAUUAUUUUUGAUCUAGAUUUAAUUUUUUGCUGCUCAAAUAAAAGUUUAAAAAUAUAUGCAUGAAACCACCCAAACCAACAAGUGAGACAUAUGGUGAUCUCCAUUCUUAAUAUUAUUGAAACUCUUUUCAAUGA
rnacentral:lncRNA from 1 species